CUGAAAGUACAAAAGCAGGAAACGAGAAACGGAGUUCCAAUCGACGCGCUCAGCUCAGUGGAAAAGAUUAUGAUGAUGACGCGCCAGUGGAAGCGGAAACGAAGAGUCGGAGAGUACAGAUCCACUGACGUUACAGCAGAAUCUGGUGCUUUUGGCUGCAGCAAGCAAAGCUACUUCUGCUUUUUCACUUUAGAGAUCAGCAAGCAGAUUGAUCUGAAUGGAGAGCUGAUAAGAAGUUAGGUGGAAAAAAAAGAUAAAAAGAUAUGUAUAGUUUGUAUACUGUGAUUCCUCUUAAGUCUGAAGCUUUUCCAACCAACAAGCUCUUAGCUUUCACCAUUUUUUUUUUCUUUUUAGUACAAAAGAAGAAGAAGAAUGGGAGAAGAAGUGUGGUUUGAGUUAGCUUUUGGUUGGUUGUUUAUUCCUGUAAAUUGACAUCCAUAUGAAUUUAUGGCAUGUUGGUGGUGAGA